UCCUGUAAAACUGAUUUUACAAGAAAAUCUCAUCUACCGGUAAAUACAACAUCCAACCGGGAGGCUUUUCACUCCUUCCUGUGUGCAAUUAACAGCAAACACCUUGUCAUAAACAUUUUUGAAAGGUCAGAGAUGGCAACAAUUUUGCUAAAGAGAUAAAUAGUCAAAUAAAACUCUGCCCUGGUAAUUCCCAGGCUUCAAAAACCAGCAUAUGUCUGAUCAAUAAUGAGACACACAAAGGGGAUUGUGGGAUAAAGGGCGGGUCCAAUUUGAGGUAUUAAAAACUUGCCUAAGUCAUUUUUUUCCCAACACAUCUUGUGUUGCAGCAGAUAGUGGAGCCGUUAAUGGGCAAUGUUAGGGAAAUAAGAUUCUGGCUAUGAAACAAAAGAUUGUUUUAGGUUGAAGAAGUAAAUAAUAGUAAGAAUAAGGACUUUUGCAAAAGCCAAGAGCCUUCAGAUGGUCGGAGAAAGUAGUGGAUGCUGAAAGACUGAAUAAUGUCAUCAAACUGGCCUUUUGUCUUGCACCAUUACAGCUAUUUUUCUUGGCUUCAACCAGGAGCUUCAGAAGAACUAAAAGUCAUAUUUCUUUGCCCAGUUAUUGGUUUAAGGAAACCAGGGAUCACCAUGUAUUUUACGAAAAAGGAUGUGCAUCCUGCCAGAUUGUGGCAUGACACUCGGCCCCUCAAUAAGAAGCCAUUGGGUUCCAACUACAGACGAAAUCUCAAACCUGACCCUUGCCUCUAAGGAGCAGACAAUGGCAUCUCCUCCAUCAUCCCAAAUGAAGAAUCAUCUUGGAAAAUUGUGACAAAUUUAUAGACUAAAGUUUCUUCUCCGUUGUAAGAAUCUUGAGACGUCUGGAAUUCUAGACACUGUCUCCUAAAAAUUUCCAGGAUAAACUUCCCUCCUUCUUUUACUAUAGGUGCACUCUACAAAAGAAGCUGAGAAUCCCCGCAGCAGAUGAUGGAGAACCUCUGCAGUCUCUCCCUUCUUCCUUUCUUGAUCAUUAUCCCUAUGAUUGAUCAGCCCCACUCAAUGAAUUAGAAGGGCGGAGGCUCAUGGCCCAAUCCAAUGUAACUGAAUAAAGCAGCAUGAGCAAAGGGAAGGACACAGAAACUACCAUCUAAAAAAGGUGAAGACCUGGACCCCCAUUAUCACACCUGCCCCUUUGGCUAAUUGCAAAAGAAGAAAACGGAACAUGAGCUCCAGCCAGAAAAGAUUCACAGCUGCCACUCUUUAGUUGCUACUUUAAUGGAAAACACAUGUGCAAGAUACCACCCAGGAGACAACUGUGCUCUGACAAAAGGAACGUCACCAGAAAAUGAGCCACGUGAGAGGACUUAUUCUCUUGGAUAGGCCGAACCCAGAAAGAAGGUUGAUAGUAUUGUUCUUAUAUAAAUAUGUGCUGGUCCAAAGAUGAGAUGUGGGACAGAAAUUGAUCUGUAGCAACCAAGUUGAAAGGCAAUGAUGUAAAUUAGCCCUCAACAAUUCUCACUCUACAACAAUUUUACCAUCA